rnacentral:lncRNA from 1 species
CAGCUGUGAGGCCAGUCUCGCGCCAGGCGCCCGGUCGGAGGACCGGAGAGAGGUUGGCCAGCUCUUACCUGACCUGAUCUAUUAGCUCAUCAGUUCUGCUUUUAUUGUUUUCUGGGGUCAGACGCAGCUGACUAAAUCUUGACACAGCGAGCAUCAUUACUCCGCAGUAGAGAAUUGUUUAGCCGCACAUGUGUCAGGCAGUGUAUCCUGUAAGAAAUAGUAUUAGAAACAAUGCGUUCGUUCGUCUUGUUCCUCUGCUUGAGAGGCCUUCACAUGUCAUGCCAAAUGGAUCUCCCCUCCAAUCUCUGGUCUGAUAAAGAUGGGGUGCAUUAACAGAGAAAAGAUGAGAUUUGGCGGGAACGGACAAUCUGAAGCAGAUGCGAUGCGAAGUGAGACCACAUGGCCAAGAUCUGAUAUCAGGAAGACAUGCUUCUGGCUCAACGCUGUAGAUGCACUGAACUUGAAGCCCUGA